rnacentral:lncRNA from 1 species
AUGUGCGGCGGGGAGCGGGGGCGGGAGACGCCGGGGGGAGCGGGAAGGGAGGGAAGGAAGGGGGGACGCCGACGAGAGGGGGAGCAAAGUGACCCCGCCGCCCGCGGAGCGGCAGAAACCGGGAUCGCGGAGGUGCGAGCCGGAGCUCGGGAGCGGGGCGCUUCCCGGGGAGACGCCGAGACGGCGAGUCGGGAGGAGCGGAACGCAGAGGUUUUGAAGAAGAAAACUCUAGGGCAGGAAAGUGGAGGGAGCCUGCAGCAGAGACGGGAAUGGAAUGAUCACUUCAGCUGCUGUGAAGUCAAGUGGGCCAAGAGAUGAGCAGCCAAGCACAGAUCCAGCAGGAUGUGUAUAACUUAACCAGAUUGUUUCUACAAUAAACAUGCGUUAGGUGAAGAUGAAAAAGGACUGUUAUACGCUAAACCACUCAAGCCCAAACACAGGGAAGAAGAUACAGGUAGGUAACUAUACCUUUCAGAUUGCAAAAUUAAAUUCUUUCAGAUGCAAAUAACCCUCUUGGAUGAAGGCUUUUGUGUUAACUGGAUGUGUAGAUUAAUUUAUUUGUCUAGUAGAGAAGUACUUUGUCUUGCAAGUCUGCC